rnacentral:rRNA from 1 species
UACGUAGGGUGCAAGCGUUAAUCGGAAUUACUGGGCGUAAAGCGUGCGCAGGCGGUUUCGCAAGUCAGAUGUGAAAGCCCCGGGCUUAACCUGGGAACUGCAUUUGAAACUACGAGGCUAGAGUGUGUCAGAGGGGGGUAGAAUUCCACAUGUAGCAGUGAAAUGCGUAGAGAUGUGGAGGAAUACCGAUGGCGAAGGCAGCCCCCUGGGAUAACACUGACGCUCAUGCACGAAAGCGUGGGGAGCAAACAGG